rnacentral:rRNA from 1 species
AUUGAACGCUGGCGGAAUGCUUUACACAUGCAAGUCGAACGGCAGCACGGACUUCGGUCUGGUGGCGAGCGGCGAACGGGUGAGUAAUGUAUCGGAACGUGCCCAGUCGUGGGGGAUAACGUAGUGAAAAUUACGCUAAUACCGCAUACGAUCUAUGGAUGAAAGCGGGGGAUCGCAAGACCUCGCGCGAUUGGAGCGGCCGAUAUCAGAUUAGGUAGUUGGUGGGGUAAAGGCCCACCAAGCCAACGAUCUGUAGCUGGUCUGAGAGGACGACCAGCAACACCGGAACUGAGACACGGUCCAGACGCCUACGGGAGGCAGCAGUGGGGAAUUUUGGACAAUGGGCGAAAGCCUGAUCCAGCCAUUCCGCGUGCAGGAUGAAGGCCCUCGGGUUGUAAACUGCUUUUGUACAGAACGAAAAGGUUUCUACUAAUACUAGGAGCUCAUGACGGUACUGUAAGAAUAAGCACCGGCUAACUACGUGCCAGCCGCCGCGGUAA